CACAAUUUUCUCCGUAGUAUUUUGAGACAUCAUCAUCUUUUCAAAUAAAAGCAAAAGAUUUUCUUUCUCCCCCUGCAGCCUGGAAACCGUCCUUGCUACAAGUGACACAACGCAAUAACCCGGUUCUCUCGGGGCAGAGGCAAGACAUGGACAUAGUGAUAGCCAUGCUUAUUUCUGUAUGUGCAUUACAAAUCAUGAGUGCACACCAGUACCCAGUAUCCCCAGGUCCAGGCCAGCGUGACAAGGUACUUUGAAAGGUCUGUAUUCCGCCACAGGUGUAUUCCACUAAAGCAGGACAGAUUCCACACCAUGUGUGCAUGCUCUGCUCUUCUGGGUCUGUUUGCUGCCUCUCCGACUGCUCUGGUAUCUUCAAUGAGAUCUUAAAACUACAUGGAAGAUUGAGCUGUGACACCAAUGACCUCAGCGAGCAUGGCUGCCGUGAUGGUGGUCCUAUGGGGAACAUUUGCCAACAACUGAGUGACUCAGGCCUGGCUGCAGAGCCAAGGUCCUCCAAUAGGCAUGUGGGCUGGAUGCCAGAGGAGACUUCGCUCAGGGACAUGGCACAUUUCUCAUGGAAUGGAUUGCUGAUUUCAACCAGCCACCUCAGCCCUGCUAACUGCUGACUUCUGACUUUCUCUAAAUGAGAAACGUGAAGGCGUGUUUGUAUGUUUUAGACAGGAGGGACAGUUGUGAGCAUUUUUUCCAUGGCUAACUUGCAACUCAGUCCUUCCUUUGCUUUGGGUUGCUUCAUAUCGAAUGAUGGCUUGAAUGUGCUGGAGCCUUACUUAGGUUAGCGUACAUUUAUUCACACAUAAUGAAAAAGAUCAAUGUGAAGGAAAUGAAGGGACACAGUAUGGUCAUUAUACCUUUCAUAAUAAACACUGUGCGGCCAGCGUCU
ensembl:antisense A230009B12Rik RIKEN cDNA A230009B12 gene